rnacentral:rRNA from 1 species
ACGGGUAUUGCCCAGUAACGGCGAGUGAAGCGGCAACAGCUCAAAUUUGAAAUCUGGCUCUCGGGCCCGAGUUGUAAUUUGUAGAGGAUGCUUUUGGUGAGGUGCCUUCCGAGUUCCCUGGAACGGGACGCCAUAGAGGGUGAGAGCCCCGUCUGGUUGGACACCGAUCCUCUGUAAAGCUCCUUCGACGAGUCGAGUAGUUUGGGAAUGCUGCUCUAAAUGGGAGGUAUAUGUCUUCUAAAGCUAAAUACCGGCCAGAGACCGAUAGCGCACAAGUAGAGUGAUCGAAAGAUGAAAAGAACUUUGAAAAGAGAGUUAAACAGUACGUGAAAUUGUUGAAAGGGAAGCGCUUGUGACCAGACUUGGGCUUGGUUGAUCAUCCGGGGUUCUCCCCGGUGCACUCUUCCGGCCCAGGCCAGCAUCAGUUCGCCCUGGGGGACAAAGGCUUCGGGAAUGUGGCUCUCUCCGGGGAGUGUUAUAGCCCGUUGCGUAAUACCCUGUGGCGGACUGAGGUUCGCGCAUUCGCAAGGAUGCUGGCGUAAUGGUCAUCAGUGACCCGUCUUAAAAACAGGGACCCAGAU